rnacentral:tRNA from 1 species
GCAGGUGGCACAGCGGUUAAUGCUUUCAUCUCCCAAUCAAAGGUCUUGGGUUCAAAUCCCACCUCCA